rnacentral:tRNA from 1 species
GUGGGUGUAUCUCAGUGAUGGAGCACAUGCUUGGCAUGCACGAGGUCCUGGGUUCAAUCUCCAGUACCUCCA